rnacentral:rRNA from 1 species
GAGUCGGGUUGCUUGAGAUUGCAGCCUAAAGAGGGUGGUAAACCUCAUCUAAGGCUAAAUACGACCACGAGACCGAUAGCAAACAAGU